rnacentral:rRNA from 1 species
CGAUAGCGUAUAUUUAAGUUGUUGCAGUUAAAAAGCUCGUAGUUGGAUUUCGGUUAAGAGCGACCGGUCCGCCGUUUGGUGUGCACUGGUUGGUUUUAACUUCCUGUAGAGGACGUGCUCUGGGUUUAACGACCUGGACUCGGAGUCUACGUGGUUACUUUGAAAAAAUUAGAGUGUUCAAAGCGGGCUUACGCUUGAAUAUUUCAGCAUGGAAUAACACUAUAGGACUCCUGUCCUAUUUCGUUGGUCUCGGGACGGGAGUAAUGAUUAAGAGGAACAGUUGGGGGCAUUCGUAUUUCAUUGUCAGAGGUGAAAUUCUUGGAUUUAUGAAAGACGAACUUCUGCGAAAGCAUUUGCCAAGGAUGUUUNCAUUAA